UAAAAAAAAAGAUAUUUGAGACAGCUUAUGAUGAUGAUACAUAUAAACUGCUUUGUAUUAGCAAUAAUAACUUACAUUUGUCAAAUGCCUACUAAGUGCCGGGCACUAUUUUAAGCACUUUGCACAUAUUAACUUUUUUUGAUGGUUAUGACAACCUUGUGAAUUAGAUAUUACUACUAUCUGCAUUUUAGAGAUGGGGAAACCAAGGCACAGACAGAUUAAGUAGCCUUCCAAGGCUGUACAGUAAGUAGCAGAGCUGGAAUUUGAACCUACGAAGUUUGAUCUUAGAGCCCGCUGUGGCAUACUGACUCUUGGUAAAUGUUUAACUCUGGGUUCUGAGUGUGGUGUUGUAAGUGCUCGGCCAUCUCAUACCUGAAGAACCGAUCGGAGGGAUCUGGUGUUCGAACCAAAGUGCUAUCAAUGAGUUUUGCUGUUGUUACCCAGGCUGGAGUGCAAUGGUGCGAUCUCGGCUCACUGCAACCUCCACCUUCUGGGUUCAAGCAAUUCUCCUGCCUCAGCCUCCCGAGUAGCUGGGACUACAGGCGUGCACCACCAUACCCAGAUCAUUUUUUGUAGUUUUAGUAGAGACGGGGUUUCACCAUGUUGACCAGGAUGGUCUCGAUCUCUUGACCUCAUGAUCCACCUGCCUUGGCCUCCCAAAGUGCUGGGAUUAUAGGUGUGAGCCUCGUGAGCCACCACGCCCGGCCUAAAUUUUUUUUUUUAAACAAAGGCUAUUUUUCGCAUUCUGGUUCUCUUUCUUUGUUCAUCCAAAUAAUCUACAUUGAAGUUUCAUGCUCCUGUGAUGUUCAGCUGAAUCAGGAGACAGUAAGAGGACCCUUACUAAUUGUGUUAAAUAAUUCAUUAAAUGUAGGCAGAGAAACACAGUUACAGACACUAUUUUGUUUUCAUUUAUAAGUCACUUUCCAGCACAGGGACAUAAGCAGCAUUAUGGGACUUUAGAGCUAGCAGGGCUCUAUGAAUUUCAGUCCAACCCUCUCAUUUUAAAGAUGGAGAAGUUAUAGCCCAGGUAACCCCAUGCAACCUAAUUUAAUAAGCUUUGAGCACCUAUGAUGUGGCAAGUAAAAUCAAGCAAAGUAAGAUGCCCGUAACUGAUGGGCGGGAUGUUGUUUUAGAUAAGGUGUCCAGGGAAAGUCUCUCUGAAAGGUGACUUUUGAGCAAAGGUCUGAAGGAAAUGAGGAAGCAAGUCGUGUAACAUUUGGCGGAGAGGUUCCAGGCAGAGGAACAAUAAGUGCAAAGGUCAUGAGGUCAGAGGAUGCGUGGCAUGUUGAAAAACAGAAGGGGACCAGUGUGGCUGGGAUACGGGGCAUGCAGGGCAGUGGUGGGAGUAGAAAGUGAAGUCAGAGAGGGGACAGGACAGAUUUUUGUAGAGUCUAUAAGGCCACUCGUGAUAAGGACUUGAAUUUUGUUCUGAGUAAGCUGAGAUAUAUUAGAGGGUCUUAAGCAGAGACAUCCCAUGAUCUGUCUUAGAAUUAAUUUUGGUCACUACAUGGAGAGUAGUCAGGGCUGGAGGGCUAGGACAGAAGCCAGGAGAUGAAUUACAAGGUUCCUGUAGUAAUUAAGACAACAGAUGAUGAUGGCUGGGCAAGGGCGAUAGGAGAACAGAGACGAUAUGUGACUAGACAGAGUACAGAGACACACUGAAGGCAGUGUCUUCAUGAAAGGGUCUUGUCCUCGUCACACAUAAUUAGAACAUGAAAGAGCUGGGGUUAGGCCUCCGGUCUCUGGAGUCCCUGGCUAGUGCCUCAGUGCCUUGCAUAUGUGAUCUCUAAAUGUCACCACAGCUGGGAAGAUAGGUU
ensembl:lncRNA